AUUGAACGCUGGCGGCAUGCCUUACACAUGCAAGUCGAACGGUAACGCGGGGCAACCUGGCGACGAGUGGCGAACGGGUGAGUAAUGUAUCGGAACGUGCCCAGUAGUGGGGGAUAGCCCGGCGAAAGCCGGAUUAAUACCGCAUACGACCUAAGGGUGAAAGGGGGGGAUCGCAAGACCUCUCGCUAUUGGAGCGGCCGAUGUCAGAUUAGGUAGUUGGUGGGGAAAAGGCCUACCAAGCCGACGAUCUGUAGCUGGUCUGAGAGGACGACCAGCCACACUGGGACUGAGAGACGGCCCAGACUCCUACGGGAGGCAGCAGUGGGGAAUUUUGGACAAUGGGCGCAAGCCUGAUCCAGCCAUGCCGCGUGCGGGAAGAAGGCCUUCGGGUUGUAAACCGCUUUUGUCAGGGAAGAAACGCUCUGGGUUAAUACCCUGGGGUAAUGACGGUACCUGAAGAAUAAGCACCGGCUAACUACGUGCCAGCAGCCGCCGUAA
rnacentral:rRNA from 1 species